CAGUUUUAACUCUCACAUUCAAGUCAGCUUAUUGAAUUCAUGUACCGAACCCUGCAUAGUGGAACAAAGGAUAUAGAAAGGGUUGCUUCAAAACAUCUUCAAUAAAUAUUUGCAACCAUGAUGGAUAAGUGGUUUUCAGGUCAAAUAAGAACAAUUUCAUCCAUCAGCGUCCUGUUCUAAUAAAUUGUCAAUGAAAAGGUUGGCAUUGCCUAACUAUCAUUCUAUUUUUCUUUUACUCAUAACUCUAAUGUAGUUUCCUGUAAUAUUUUCAUUUUUUUAACUUGCAAACUUUAUUUAUAUUUUGAUGUAUAAUCCAUUUGUUAACUUCUGCAUGCAUAGUAUUUGC